rnacentral:rRNA from 1 species
UACGAGGGGUGCAAGCGUUGUUCGGAAUCACUGGGCGUAAAGGGAGCGUAGGCGGAGCUUCAAGUCGGUCGUACAAUUCCGGGGCCUAACCCCGGACCUGCGGCCGAUACUGGGGCUCUUGAGUUAUCUAGAGGCAGGCGGAAUUCCAGGUGUAGCGGUGGAAUGCGUAGAGAUCUGGAAGAACACCAAUGGCGAAGGCAGCCUGCUGGGGAUUAACUGACGCUGAGGCUCGAAAGUGCGGGUAGCAAACAGG